GGGGCUGACUGGUUUUGACAGCAAGAUGAAUGGUUAUGUAAGCAUGCCGAGCCUUGCGAUGACGCUCGUAAAUCUUGAUCGCGAACAACAAUUGGCGAAAACAAUU
rnacentral:tmRNA from 1 species